rnacentral:rRNA from 1 species
UUAACACAUGCAAGUCGAACGAUGAACCGGCUUCGGCCGGGGAUUAGUGGCGAACGGGUGAGUAACACGUGGGCAAUCUGCCCUGCACUCUGGGACAAGCCCUGGAAACGGGGUCUAAUACCGGAUACGACACUCUCGGGCAUCCGAUGAGUGUGGAAAGCUCCGGCGGUGCAGGAUGAGCCCGCGGCCUAUCAGCUUGUUGGUGAGGUAACGGCUCACCAAGGCGACGACGGGUAGCCGGCCUGAGAGGGCGACCGGCCACACUGGGACUGAGACACGG